AUUGAACGCUGGCGGAAUGCUUUACACAUGCAAGUCGAACGGCAGCACGGGGGCAACCCUGGUGGCGAGUGGCGAACGGGUGAGUAAUACAUCGGAACGUGCCCGGUCGUGGGGGAUAACGUAGCGAAAGUUACGCUAAUACCGCAUACGAUCUGAGGAUGAAAGCGGGGGACCUUCGGGCCUCGCGCGAUCGGAGCGGCCGAUGUCAGAUUAGGUAGUUGGUUGGGUAAAGGCCUACCAAGCCGACGAUCUGUAGCUGGUCUGAGAGGACGACCAGCCACACUGGGACUGAGACACGGCCCAGACUCCUACGGGAGGCAGCAGUGGGGAAUUUUGGACAAUGGGCGCAAGCCUGAUCCAGCCAUUCCGCGUGCAGGACGAAGGCCUUCGGGUUGUAAACUGCUUUUGUAUGGAACGAAAAGGCUCUGGCUAAUACCUGGGGCUCAUGACGGUACCGUAAGAAUAAGCACCGGCUAACUACGUG
rnacentral:rRNA from 1 species